UGUGUACAAACAUACAUGUGCAUAUGUUUACACAUGUGCAUAUGCAUACACACACUUAUAUGUGCACACCCCCACA
rnacentral:miRNA from 1 species